rnacentral:misc_RNA from 1 species
GACACACUUCCGGAGAGGAACAGGUUCCACUACGACACGGUGUGGGGCGGGCUCUUCCUGAGGGGGGAGGACGGGGAGGCCCACUUCUACACAGAUUUUGGGUUCCCCUUUUACAACGACCACCAUUUCCAUCUCGGCUACUUCCUGUACGCCUUGGCUUACUACGUGAGGCACGACACGGCAUGGGCUCAGCAACAUCGGCAGAGAAUAUACGCCCUGGCACGAGACGUCGGGAACCCUAGCUACAAGGACAAGUUCUUCCCCGUGGUUCGUCACAAGGACAUCUACAUGGGUAUAUCCUGGGCCUCGGGGGUUGUCCCGGGGGAGAGGCAGGAGGAGUCAUCAUCUGAGUCGUUAAACUGUUACCAUGGUCUGGCUGCCCUGGGAGACGCGCUGAACGAUCCCAUUUUACGAGGAACGGGCCAGGUGAUGCUGGCUCUGGAGAUCGCCUCCGUGAGAGAAUACUACCACGUGCGUGACCACAACUUUAACCAGUUCCCGCCAAUUCUACAGAAGUUUGGGGCGGUGGGACAGAUAGCCGAGGACAGUUUCUAUGUGUACACCUUGGACUGGGGUUGUGACCCCAACGUGUUCCCGAUGAGGCACGGGUGUCUAGUCGGCAUCCAAAUUAUCCCCAUUACCGCCGUCUCUAGGUACUGGAUGGAUAAGGACUGGGCCAAACAUAUCCUGCAGUCAUGUGAUUGGGCGAUUAAUCCGUCACACGCGACUGACUACAGCCUCGCCAAUCCUAGCGACCUACGUGACUUAGUUACUGGUUGGAAAGCAUUCUGUUAUGCCGGAAUCGCGCCAUAUGACGAAUCUCAUAAAAUAGCGGCAGCCAACUACUUGAGGGACAAAUACCCACGUGACCUGGUGUCUGGGACAGGAGCGGCCAGUACUCUGCUAUUUAUAUACGAACGGACUUAAAAAUUUUAACAUGAUUUUGAUAGAACAAAUCAUUGAACUUUUGCACUAUUUUGAAGAAAAAAAAUACAGUCUUUUUAUUAA